UAAGACAGAGGGUGCAAACGUUGUUCGGAAUUACUGGGCGUAAAGCGCACGCAGGCGGUUUGUUAAGUCAGAUGUGAAAUCCCCGGGCUCAACCUGGGAACUGCAUUUGAAACUGGCAAGCUAGAGUCUCGUAGAGGGGGGUAGAAUUCCAGGUGUAGCGGUGAAAUGCGUAGAGAUCUGGAGGAAUACCGGUGGCGAAGGCGGUCCCCUGGACGAAGACUGACGCUCAGGUGCGAAAGCGUGGGGAGCAAACAGGAUUAGAUACCCUGGUAGUCCACGCUGUAAACGAUGUCGAUUUGGAGGUUGUGCCCUUGAGGCGUGGCUUCCGGAGCUAACGCGUUAAAUCGACCGCCUGGGGAGUACGGCCGCAAGGUU
rnacentral:rRNA from 1 species